ensembl:miRNA
AAAGUAAUUAUGGUUUUUGCCAUUACUUCCAGUGGCAAAAACUGCAAUUACUUUUGC